UUGAAAGGGAAACGAUUGAAGUCAGUCGUACUGACGGAAAAUCAACUUUUCGGGUGCCUAUCGUGGGUAACGUUGAGCCUCACGGCCUUCGUUGCUUAUGUGUUGGUAUCUUUGGAGUGCACUUUUUCGUAUGGUAGGUCAACAUCGAUUUUGAUCGUCAUAAAAUGAUCGGAGGAAUGUAGCUUCAGUUUCGAUCGGAGUGUUAUAGCCUUUGGUAGAUGUGACGAUUGGGAUCGAGGAUUGCAACGAAUACCCUUUGGGCUAUCCGUCUGACCUCUGAAAGUCGCUUGGGUGCUGAAAGCUUGCUUAUGGUAUUCAAGUUGGCGGUCAAUAGGUUAGAACGUGAUUACAUUCGUUAAGGAUGU
rnacentral:rRNA from 1 species